GACGUAGGGCGCGAGCGUUGUCCGGAUUUAUUGGGCGUAAAGAGCUCGUAGGCGGCUUGUCGCGUCGACCGUGAAAACUCGCAGCUCAACUGCGAGCCUGCGGUCGAUACGGGCAGGCUAGAGUUCGGUAGGGGAGACUGGAAUUCCCGGUGUAGUGGUGGAAUGCGUAGAUAUCGGGAGGAACACCAGUGGCGAAGGCGGUUGCCUGGAGCUUUGCUGACGCUGAGGCGCGAAAGCGUGGGGAGCGAUCCGG
rnacentral:rRNA from 1 species